UACAGAGGGUGCGAGCGUUGUUCGGAAUUAUUGGGCGUAAAGGGUGCGUAGGCGGUGCCACAAGUCACUUGUGAAAUCCCCAGGCUUAACCUGGGGCCUGCAGGCGAAACUGUGGUGCUGGAGUAUGGGAGAGGUGCGUGGAAUUCCCGGUGUAGCGGUGAAAUGCGUAGAUAUCGGGAAGAACACCCGUGGCGAAGGCGGCUCUCUGGGACGGUACUGACGCUGAGACGCGAAAGCGUGGGGAGCAAACAGG
rnacentral:rRNA from 1 species